GUAAUUAUAGUUUGUGGUGAAAAAUAGUCUUUAUUUUUUUGAAACAUUUGCAGGUUUCUUGAAGGGUGUUUAGUGAUCAUCACAGAGAAGUGACAAGAAAAACACCCAGAGAUGUUCUCAUUUCUGCAAAAGAUUUAAGCUGCAUAAGACAUGUUCUUCAUGAAACAACCAGGCAUCUUUACAGUCCAUUAAUUGACAGGCCUGUAUAAAAGGGAGACAGACUGAUGUUCAAAGACAUCUCCUCAUGAUCAGGAUCCAAGAAACAAAUCACAGAAUAUGCUAAGUUGGAAGGGACGCACAAGGAUCACCGAAUCCAACUCCUAGCCAUGCAUGGGACCAUCCCCAAGAGUCACAUCAUGUGCCUGAAAGUAUUGU